rnacentral:rRNA from 1 species
CAGUCGCCACGGUAAUACGAAGGGUGCAAGCGUUACUCGGAAUCACUGGGCGUAAAGCGUGCGUAGGUGGUGGUUUAAGUCCGUUGUGAAAGCCCUGGGCUCAACCUGGGAAUUGCAGUGGAUACUGGGUCACUAGAGUGUGGUAGAGGAUAGUGGAAUUUCCGGUGUAGCAGUGAAAUGCGUAGAGAUCGGAAGGAACAUCUGUGGCGAAGGCGACUAUCUGGGCCAACACUGACACUGAGGCACGAAAGCGUGGGGAGCAAACAGGAUUAGAUACCCGCGUAGUCCCUGUCUCUUAUAC